rnacentral:tRNA from 1 species
GAGGGUAUAGCUCAGUAGUAGAGUGCUUGCUUAGUGUGCACAAGGUCCUGGGUUCAAUUCGCAGUACCUCCA